UAUUUUCUUAUUUAAAGCGAGUCAACCUUACGGAAUCUAAUUGCUUUUAAGCAACUUUUUGCAAAUUCAAAUGACGAUUGAAGAGUUGAAUAUUUUGAUAUUCAUAUUCGAAUUCAUGUACAGCUACAUGUUAUAGUUCAACAUUGCAAUCUAUCUCGACGCAGAACGCGUCAUUUGGAUGCGCAGUGGACACUCUGAAUACCAUUAUUGGAUCAAUAUCGUACCCAGGGCUUCUGCGCAAAGGCUCUGGG